UACGGGGGGGCAAGCGUUGUUCGGAAUUCCUGGGCGUAAAGGGCUCGUAGGUGGCCAACUAAGUCAUACGUGAAAUCCCUCGGCUUAACCGGGGAACUGCGUCUGAUACUGGAUGGCUUGAGGUUGGGAGAGGGAUGCGGAAUUCCAGGUGUAGCGGUGAAAUGCGUAGAUAUCUGGAGGAACACCGGUGGCGAAGGCGGCAUCCUGGACCAAUUCUGACACUGAGGAGCGAAAGCCAGGGGAGCAAACGGG
rnacentral:rRNA from 1 species